rnacentral:rRNA from 1 species
AUCGAACGCUGGCGGCAGGCCUAACACAUGCAAGUCGAACGAGUGGCGGACGGGUGCGUAAUGUCUGGGAAACUGCCUGAUGGAGGGGGAAAACUACUGGAAACGGUAGCCAAUACCGAAUAACAUCGGAUGUGCCCAGAUGGGAUUAGCUAGUAGGUGUGGGAAAGGCUCAACUAGGAGACGAUCCCUAGCGGGUCAGAGAGGAUGACCGGCCACCCUGGAACUGGGACACGGUCCGAACUCCUACGGGAGGCAGCAGUGGGAAAUAUUGCACAAGGGGCGCAAGCCUGAUGCGGACCGUCGGCGUGUAUGAUAAAGUCCUUCGGUUUUUAAGGUCCGUUCAGCGGGGAGGCGUUACCCAAAGAAGAAGCACCGGCUAACUCCGUGCCAGCAGCCGCGGUAAUAC